rnacentral:rRNA from 1 species
CACUGUCACUCCUACGGGGAGCAGCAGUGGGGGAAUAUUGCACAAUGGGCGCAAGCCUGAUGCAGCCAUGCCGCGUGUAUGAAGAAGGCCUUCGGGUUGUAAAGUACUUUCAGCAGUGAGGAAGGUGGAUAUGUUAAUAGCAUAUUCAUUUGACGUUAGCUGCAGAAGAAGCACCGGCUAACUCCGUGCCAGCAGCCGCGGUAAUACGGAGGGUGCGAGCGUUAAUCGGAAUUACUGGGCGUAAAGCGCAUGCAGGUGGUUUGUUAAGUCAGAUGUGAAAGACCCGGGGCUCAACCUCGGAAUUGCAUUUGAAACUGGCAAACUAGAGUACUGUAGAGGGGGGUAGGAAUUUCAGGUGUAGCGGUGAAAUGCGUAGAGAUCUGAAGGAAUACCGGUGGCGAAGGCGGCCCCCUCGGACAGAUACUGACACUCAGAUGCGAAAGCGUGGGGAGCAAACAGGAUUAGAUACCCUGGUAG